CCUGCCUGCAAGGUUCUUCUCUUUCCCUUGGGUCUGCAAUUGACGGGGAGGGGUAGGGCUGAGAUCUCCCCCUGCUGGCCACCGGACUCCACUUGCCCAGGUUUCUGUUCAGAGGCCACCACUCCUCCUCCACACAGCCCACGGACUUCCCAGCAGCAGGCCCCCACUCAGAAGGUUCCGAUGGGUCUAAGGUUGACAAAGAUCAGCUACACCAGUCAGCACCCAGCGUUCCCUGGACACAGGACUUUCUCCAGGAAUGGCACGUGACCCAGUUCAGACCAAUGGCAUGUGAGCAAUGGCUUGCUGAGGAAUGAUGGAAAAGACGUCCUCAGCCUAGGGACAGAGCUCGGGAAGACUCUCUCCGUCCUAGUCUGGAUGUUGUGGUGGCACAUGUACCCCAGUGACAGCUGUUGCAAUUUUGUCCCCACUCGGGAAGCCAGCCAGAGGAAAUUGUGACAAAGUGGGGCCAGAGCCCCUGGAUCCAGCCAAUCCCGAGGCCCAGCUACCUCUGGACUUCCAGAUCCAAGAGCCAAGGAAGACCUUUUUCUUUAAGCACUUGGAUUUGAGUUUGUUGUUGUUUAUAAUACCCCCAAGCCCCUAAAUCAACAGUGUUUGUGACUCACUGAAAUAAACACGUUUAGAACGGUGA